UACGUAGGGUGCGAGCGUUAAUCGGAAUUACUGGGCGUAAAGUGUGCGCAGGCGGCGCUGCAAGUCGAGUGUGAAAUCCCCGAGCUUAACUUGGGAAUUGCGCUCGAAACUACGGCGCUGGAGUACGGCAGAGGAAGGUGGAAUUCCACGUGUAGCGGUGAAAUGCGUAGAGAUGUGGAGGAACACCAGUGGCGAAGGCGGCUCUUUGGUCUGUAACUGACGCUGAGGCGCGAAAGCGUGGGGAGCAAACAGG
rnacentral:rRNA from 1 species